AUUGACCGAGGGUUCUGGCUGCUGCUGUCGCGAGUCCAUCUCGGUGUCUGUACAAGGCGUCGCUUCCCACGGGCUGCUUCUGGGCGGUGACGGAGCGUCGCGGGGGUACGAAGGCAGGUCGGUUCCGGGGAGGCAGGGACUUCGCGGUGGCCGAACUUCCUCUAGGCGGCGCGGGGGUCCAAGAGCUUCCACCCAUCUCCCCCUCCCUCAGCGCCUCCCAGCUCCCUCCACGUGAGCCUUCACACGGGUGCUUCCCCUAAUGACAUCCUUGCACAUUUCAUCCUGUCUCGGCCUCUGCUUCAUGGAGGACCUAGACGAUCUUCCAGCCACCGCUAGCACCAGCUUCACGGCAGGUGUGCACUCUUCGGUAAUUCCUAACUGCAACAGGAGCUGACACAUGAGCCUCCCGUUCCCAACUUCGUACAUUUUCUGAAACGCCAACUGCGGAAGGGACGGGCUCGCCGAAGAAGCCACCUCCUCCGAUCUCUCCACUCUCCUCCUCAGCCCGCCCUCCUGCCUCUACCCCACGUUUCAUGCACUCUUCCGAGCCCCGCGUGCCACCAGCUCACAGCCACAUAGCAUCUUCCGCCGCUGGCACCCAUCAUCCUGUAUCUGGCUGACCCAGCCUGGGCCACAGAGCCUGCUGGAACCUGCCAGCCAAGGAAGCGGCAGCCUACACACCCACCCCGUGCUGCACGGGCAGGGAUGGCACCCCCAUCCAGCCACGGCCAGAGAAGGCUGCUGUGUGAUGCCCAGGAGAUCAGUGGUCAUACUGGAUGGACAGAUGGACAGACACCAGCCCCCAGUGUGGGGAGACUCAGGAUCACCUGCCAGAUGAGCCUGUG